CCUACGGGGGGCAGCAGUGAGGAAUAUUGGUCAAUGGACGAGAGUCUGAACCAGCCAAGUAGCGUGAAGGAUGACUGCUCUAUGGGUUGUAAACUUCUUUUAUAUGGGAAUAAAACGUUCCACGUGUGGGAUUUUGUAUGUACCAUAUGAAUAAGGAUCGGCUAACUCCGUGCCAGCAGCCGCGGUAAUACGGAGGAUCCGAGCGUUAUCCGGAUUUAUUGGGUUUAAAGGGAGCGUAGGUGGAUUGUUAAGUCAGUUGUGAAAGUUUGCGGCUCAACCGUAAAAUUGCAGUUGAAACUGGCAGUCUUGAGUACAGUAGAGGUGGGCGGAAUUCGUGGUGUAGCGGUGAAAUGCUUAGAUAUCACGUAGAACUCCGAUUGCGAAGGCAGUUCACUGGACUGCAACUGACACUGAGGCUCGAAAGUGUGGGUAUCAAACAGGAUUAGAUACCCGAGUAGUC
rnacentral:rRNA from 1 species